UACGAAGGGUGCAAACGUUGCUCGGAAUUAUUGGGCGUAAAGCGCACGUAGGCGGCAUUGCAAGUCUGAUGUGAAAUCCCUCGGCUCAACCAAGGAAGUGCAUCGGAAACUGCAGUGCUUGAGUACUUAAGAGGAUCGCGGAAUUCCCGGUGUAGAGGUGAAAUUCGUAGAUAUCGGGAGGAACACCAGUGGCGAAGGCGGCGAUCUGGGA
rnacentral:rRNA from 1 species